GAUGAACGCUGGCGGCGUGCCUAAUACAUGCAAGUCGAGCGAACAGACGAGGAGCUUGCUCCUUUGACGUUAGCGGCGGACGGGUGAGUAACACGUGGGUAACCUACCUAUAAGACUGGGAUAACUUCGGGAAACCGGAGCUAAUACCGGAUAAUAUUUCGAACCGCAUGGUUCGACAGUGAAAGAUGGCUCUGCUAUCACUUAUAGAUGGACCUGCGCCGUAUUAGCUAGUUGGUAAGGUAACGGCUUACCAAGGCAACGAUACGUAGCCGACCUGAGAGGGUGAUCGGCCACACUGGAACUGAGACACGGUCCAGACUCCUACGGGAGGCAGCAGUAGGGAAUCUUCCGCAAUGGGCGAAAGCCUGACGGAGCAACGCCGCGUGAGUGAUGAAGGUCUUCGGAUCGUAAAACUCUGUUAUUAGGGAAGAACAAACGUGUAAGUAACUGUGCACGUCUUGACGGUACCUAAUCAGAAAGCCACGGCUAACUACGUG
rnacentral:rRNA from 1 species